GGAGGGAUCAUUACUGAAUGGCCUUUUGGCCUUCAAACCCCUCAAACCUGUGGAAGAGAAAAUGUGUUUCGGCGCCUUUGGGCGCCGCCCUUAAUGCAAAUGCCAGUCUUGUGUCUGAAGUAAAUUAAAGAUUAAAACUUUCAACAAAGGAUCUCUUGGCUCUCGCAUCGAUGAAGAACGCAGCGAAGCGCGAAAUGUAGUGUGAAUCGCAGAACAUUGUGAAUCAUCGAAUCUUUGAACGCACAUUGCGCCUCCCGUAGGGGAGGCAUGCCUGUCUGAGCGUCGUUUAACCAAUAAACCUCUGGGUUUGUGUUGGGCCUUGCCCCUUGGGCAUUGCCUUGAAGCCAUCGGUCUCUUUGAGCGGGCUGGUUCCUCUAGGACAUAGCCGUUUUUGAGACCAGAAACUUUUAUCCUUUAGACCUCAGAUCAGGUAGGGACACCGCCUGAACUUAAGCAUAUCAAUAAGGCGAGGAAUAGAAACCAACAGGGAUUCCCCCAGUAGUGGCGAAUGAAGUGGGAAAAGCUCAAGUUUGAAAUCUGGCAGGCGACUGUCCAGAGUUGUAAGCUGAAGAGGCGAUGUCCGACGCGGUCCAGGCUUAAUUUCCUUGGAACAGGGAGUCAUGGAGGGUGAGAACCCCGUACAUGGCUUGGUCGCCGCCGUCCUUGUGACGCGUCCUCUAAGAGUCGGGUUGUUUGGGAAUGCAGCUCAAAAUGGGUGGUAAAUUUCAUCUAAAGCUAAAUAUUGGCGAGAGACCGAUAGCAAACAAGUAGAGUGAUCGAAAGAUGAAAAGUACUUUGAAAAGAGAGUGAAACAGUACGUGAAAUUGUUGAAAGGGAAGCGUUUGGCAUCAGCCCAUGGCGGUGGCCGAACAUCUGGGCUUCUGCCUAGUGCACUCGGCCGCCGUUGGGCCAGCGUCGGCUCUGCCUGCUGGAGAAAGGCCUUGGGGAAGUGGCUCCCUUCGGGGAGCGUUAUAACCCUCGGUGUCAUGCAGCUGGGUGGGGCCGAGGUCCGCGGUUUAUUCCUAGGACGCUGGCGUAAUGGUUCCAAGCGACCCGUCUUGAAACACGGACCAAGGAGUCUAACAUCUAUGCGAGUGUUUGGGUGUCAAGCCCGAUCGCGCAAUGAAAGUGAAUGCAGGCGGGAGCCUCUAGGGGUGCACCGCCGACCGGUCCGGGGGUUUACCGAUGGAUCUGAGUAAGAGCAUAGCUGUUGGGACCCGAAAGAUGGUGAACUAUGCCUGAAUAGGGUGAAGCCAGAGGAAACUCUGGUGGAGGCUCGAAGCGGUUCUGACGUGCAAAUCGAUCGUCGAAUUUGGGUAUAGGGGCGAAAGACUAAUCGAACCAUCUAGUAGCUGGUUCCUGC
rnacentral:misc_RNA from 1 species